GACGAACGCUGGCGGCGCGCUUAACACAUGCAAGUCGAACGGAAAGGCCUGCUUUCCCUUGUGGAUUGCGGGUACUCGAGUGGCGAACGGGUGAGUAACACGUGAGUGAUCUGCCCCCAACUUGGGUAUAAGCCUGGGAAACUGGGUCUAAUUCCCGAUAGGACUGCAGGGUGGUGCCUGUGGUGGAAAACGAUUUUCUAGUGGUUGGGGAUGAGCUCGCGGCCUAUCAGCUUGUUGGUGGGGUAAUGGCCUACCAAGGCGGCGACGGGGAGCCGGCCUGAGAGGGUGGACGGCCACAUUGGGACUGAGAUACGGCCCAGACUCCUACGGGAGGCAGCAGUGGGGAAUAUUGCACAAUGGGCGGAAGCCUGAUGCAGCGACGCCGCGUGGGGGAUGACGGCCUUCGGGUUGUAAACUCCUUUCGACCGCGAGGAAGCCACCUGGUUGGAAGGGUGGUGACGGUAGUGGUAGAAGAAGCACCGGCUAACUACGUG
rnacentral:rRNA from 1 species